GACGAACGCUGGCGGCGUGCUUAACACAUGCAAGUCGAACGGAAAGGCCCUGCUUUUGUGGGGUGCUCGAGUGGCGAACGGGUGAGUAACACGUGAGUAACCUGCCCUUGACUUUGGGAUAACUUCAGGAAACUGGGGCUAAUACCGGAUAGGGGCUCCUGCUGCAUGGUGGGGGUUGGAAAGUUUCGGCGGUUGGGGAUGGACUCGCGGCUUAUCAGCUUGUUGGUGGGGUAGUGGCUUACCAAGGCUUUGACGGGUAGCCGGCCUGAGAGGGUGACCGGCCACAUUGGGACUGAGAUACGGCCCAGACUCCUACGGGAGGCAGCAGUGGGGAAUAUUGCACAAUGGGCGGAAGCCUGAUGCAGCAACGCCGCGUGCGGGAUGACGGCCUUCGGGUUGUAAGCCGCUUUCGCCUGUGACGAAGCGUGAGUGACGGUAAUGGGUAAAGAAGCACCGGCUAACUACGUG
rnacentral:rRNA from 1 species